UGGGAAACAGGUUAAUAUUCCUGUACUUGGUGUUACUGCGAAGGGGGGACGGAGAAGGCUAUGUUAGCCGGGCGACGGUUGUCCCGGUUUAAGCAUGUAGGCUGGUUAUCCAGGCAAAUCCGGAUAACCAAGGCUGAGGUGUGAUGACGAGGCACUACGGUGCUGAAGUAACAAAUGCCCUGCUUCCAGGAAAAGCCUCUAAGCAUCAGGUAACAUCAAAUCGUACCCCAAACCGACACAGGUGGUCAGGUAGAG
rnacentral:rRNA from 1 species